rnacentral:SRP_RNA from 2 species
GCUGGGCGUGGUGGCGCGCGCCUGUAAUCCCAGCUACUCGGGAGGCUGAGGCAGGAGAAUAGCUUGAACCCGGGAGGCAGAGGUUGCAGUGAGCCGAGAUCAUGCCAUUGCACUCCAGCCUGGGCGACAGAGCAAGAUUCUGUCUCAA